rfam:Nitratireductor aquibiodomus RA22 Contig04, whole genome shotgun sequence.
UGCGGUCUGCGCUUCCCGACAGGAAUCUAAUUCCCCGGGGCCUUAUCGAUCCUUAAGGGAGCUGUCCCUGGUCUCGCCCGUGGGCUUGGCUACACGGCGCCCACCUACUUUGUAGGUUCCCGGGAUCGUGUAUUCCAUCGGUCGCCGUGGAUCGCCA